ACGUGAUGAACGAACGACUCGAACCUGAAGACUCCAGACGUGAGCAAAUCGUUUCUGUUUCCGGGGAACAGACGUGACAAUUGUGACGUGACAAAACAAUGAACGACUCGGAUCUGGAGGUGAGGUGAACUAACAGACUGCAUGGCCUUAAGACCAGCUAAGCUAUUAAUUAAUAAUUUCUGUUUCUGAUAAUUUGGCCUUGGUUGGAUUAACAUAUUGUUUAUUUUAUAGUUUAUUAAGUAGCCUACUAGAUGUGUUGGGGAAUUUAACAUGUAAUAUUUGAAUUAUAUUCUGCUGAAAUAAACGAAAUGACUCGGAAAAAAACAUUCGUUCAUUUGGCUGAACGAGAUUCAAAGAUCCGAGUCAGUAAAAUGAUCCGAAUUUCCCAUCACUAGCCCCAGCGCGCUAGGACCUCUCGUCCUUAAUUACUCCCUCACGCGCGCUAAUUAAUUUGCAAUGGAUGAGCAGGUGCGCUUGAGAAGGUAGUUGUAGGUUCCUGGUGAGCGCGUGUCUGGUUGUCUGCCAUGGCCAGAACCGGAUUCUAUGAUUCCAGGACACUGCUGGACCGCAAGGCAGAAGAAGCCCGAUUCCCUUUGCGCGCGUGGGCGAACGCAUGCACUGUGCGGGAGCGAGGGGUGCUGAGUGAGGGAGAGGAGCAGAAACAGCAGCCCAAAGCAGACAAUACAGAGCACAGAUGGGUAAACUUGCGACCUCUUUCUUCCAGCUAGAGUGUGAGGUGCACACGCUCCAGAUCAGUUUUCUUCAGUCACUCUGGGUGUUUUCUCUCACACUUUUUUUUUUUUUUUCUUUUCUUAACUAACCAUACUCACUUCUGUUAAAGUGAGCCUGAAAGGGAACUAGCUGCAAAUGGACUCUGUGGC
ensembl:lncRNA